ACAUACCUCAUCCCCAGGCCAAGCCAGAAAAGUCUCUGCAACAAGAAGGUCACUUUCUCUUGCUCCAUUUGCAAACAGAAAAUGGAAGUCCCAGUUUCUUACAAAGUCUGCCAAUUCCCAAGUAGCUAAUGCAAGAAUACUGGCAAGCCGAGUCUUACAGAGAAGUAUUCAUACAGUAGCCACAAAAUCAAAGAAAAAGAGAGCGGAGCAAUAUUGCAUGUUUUACAACAGGUUUGGUAAAUGCAAUCGAGGAGAUAAGUGUAAAUAUAGACAUGACCCUGAAAAAGUGGCAGUAUGUACAAGGUAACUUUUGAUAAUCAUUAUGCAAACUACUUGCGUUUAUGUUUUAUGAUGUAUGUACAUGUGUGAUGAAUUUGCUGAAUAAAUUUAGUGCAGUAUGGCAGCAGUACUGUUUAAAGCCUCUUUCAAAAAGUUAUAAGUGGUACUAGAUAUCAUAUAAUGUUUUAAAAUGGAUGUACAUUUGUUCUGCUUUGUUUAUUGGUACAUUAACAAAUAUAUAUCUAAGACUUUAUACGGAAUUCUUACAGCUAUGUGUUUGUUGAUAAUGUAAACUCUAUGUGUUUCCGCUCCAGGUUUCUGCGUGGAACAUGCUCCAUUGUUGACUGCCCAUUUUCUCACAAAGUGGACAAGGAGAAAAUGCCUGUCUGCUCAUAUUUCUUGAGAGGUGUCUGUAGCAGAGAGAACUGCCCGUACCUUCAUGUUAAGGUCAACAAAAAUGCUAAAGUUUGUCAGGAUUUCCUACAGGGUUUUUGUUCAAAGGGGGCAAAGUGCACAAAGAGCCAUACAUUAGUUUGCCAAAUGUUUGCUGCCACUGGAUCUUGUCCAGCUGGAGCUAAGUGUAAACUCCAGCACCGCAAACAGAAAACUAGGAAAAGGAAAUCUGAGGCCAUUGCCAGUAGUUCAGUGGUGGAAGAACUGCUUGAUGAACAAGAACCAGACUCGGAAAACUUAACUGUACCUGUGAAAGCCAAGAAACUACCAGCCUUUAUUUCUAUCAACAAGCCAACAAGAGGGGACCAAAAUGUUGAUGCUAGCAUGCAAAUGACCAUAGAAAAUUCAGGACAAACCAAAAAGCUAAAGAUAAAACCUGAGUUUUUAUCCUGAUGUCCAGUCUGAGAGUAAAAUUUGUACAGUAAGUAAUCAAUUUGUGUAUGAUCUUGUUGUUUAAAUCAAGAAAGAGAAAUUUCAUUGUUGUUUUAUUGGAGUUUUAGGUGUGAAAGACCCCAUAUCAGAUGCCUGUGAUUUUAAAAUAUGUAUAGAUGAAAUAAAGAACCCAAUAAAAGAAAAAGUUG
rnacentral:misc_RNA from 1 species